CCUAUCACCUGAAUUGCUCUACCUCUCAACCAGUCUGUCUGCAUCUCUCUUUCUAAGGUAUUCAGUAGUAAUAUUGUUUAUAUCUGCAUUUCAGGGACCUAUAGCUAUGAGAAUGGCUAAGCUUGCCAUUAACAGAGGAAUUGAGGUUGACUUGGCAACAGGUUUAGCGAUUGAAGAAGCUUGUUAUGCUCAGGUCAUUCCAACGAAGGACAGAAUUGAAGGUCUAACUGCAUUCAAAGAGAAAAGACCACCGUGUUACAAGGGAGAAUAAGAAAAAGCAUUUAAAAGGAUGCCAGGAAUAUUGCCUGAUUCACAUGGGUUCGGUGGAAGUCGGACGUCCAGAAGGGGGGUGGAGCUACUGUACAUUAAACCAUUGACCCGGAAGGUUCACAGCAUGGCAUUCGUGGAUUGGAGGAGCAGAUGUGCUAGUUAACCAAGGGGUCAUGGUUGAUGGUAUAAAUGGGGGGUGUAGUAAUGUGAUCUGUGCCUUAUUAUGAUUAGGCUGAAACUGAAAGGACCUGAGUAUUACGAGAGAGAACAGCGAGUGUUUUGUCUGUCUGUCUUUCUAAAUCAUUGUUCAUUGUUAUUUGUUCACGUAGACUAGACAGCUAACACGAUCCAGAGCCGUCACCCACGGCCAGCACUAAAACCCAGACAACAUUUCACCACUUGUUCAGCAGGUGUAGCACAUAUUGUGUUGUACUUCACCACAUGCAAGAGCACUCACUUUGGACUUGUGAUCGUGUGUGUGUCUCUAUUGUGUGUUUAGUACUGUGCUUAUUAUUUAUGGGAAUG